rnacentral:rRNA from 1 species
CGUAGGCGGCUUUGUAAGUCACUUGUGAAAUCUCCGGGCUUAACUCGGAACGGCCAAGUGAUACUGCAAUGCUAGAGUGCAGAAGGGGCAAUCGGAAUUCUUGGUGUAGCGGUGAAAUGCGUAGAUAUCAAGAGGAACACCUGAGGUGAAGACGGGUUGCUGGGCUGACACUGACGCUGAUGCGCGAAAGCCAGGGGAGCAAACG